rnacentral:rRNA from 2 species
AACGUAGGAGGCGAGCGUUAUCCGGAUUUACUGGGCGUAAAGCGUGUGUAGGCGGUUUGAUAAGUUGGAUGUGAAAGCUCCCGGCUCAACUGGGAGAGGUCGUUCAAAACUAUCAGACUAGAGAGUGGUAGAGGGAGGUGGAAUUCCGCGUGUAGUGGUGAAAUGCGUAGAUAUGCGGAGGAACACCAGUGGCGAAAGCGGCCUCCUGGCCCAUUUCUGACGCUCAGACACGAAAGCUAAGGUAGCAAACGGG